AACGAACGCUGGCAGCAUGCCUAACACAUGCAAGUCGAACGAGACCUUCGGGUCUAGUGGCGCACGGGUGCGUAACGCGUGGGAACCUGCCCUUAGGUUCGGAAUAACUCCCCGAAAGGGGUGCUAAUACCGGAUAAUGUCUUCGGACCAAAGAUUUAUCGCCUUUGGAUGGGCCCGCGUUGGAUUAGCUAGUUGGUAGGGUAAAAGCCUACCAAGGCGACGAUCCAUAGCUGGUCUGAGAGGAUGAUCAGCCACACUGGGACUGAGACACGGCCCAGACUCCUACGGGAGGCAGCAGUGGGGAAUAUUGGACAAUGGGCGAAAGCCUGAUCCAGCAAUGCCGCGUGAGUGAUGAAGGCCUUAGGGUUGUAAAGCUCUUUUACCCGGGAUGAUAAUGACAGUACCGGGAGAAUAAGCUCCGGCCAACUCCGUG
rnacentral:rRNA from 1 species